rnacentral:rRNA from 1 species
CAGGGGGUGCAAGCGUUGUUCGGAAUUACUGGGCGUAAAGGGCGCGUAGGCGGCUUGGUAAGUCAGGCGUGAAAUCCCGGAGCUUAACUCCGGAAGUGCGUUUGAAACUACCUCGCUAGAGUUCAGUAGAGGAUGGUGGAAUUCCCAGUGUAGAGGUGAAAUUCGUAGAUAUUGGGAGGAACACCGGUGGCGAAGGCGGCCAUCUGGGCUGCAACUGACGCUGAGGCGCGAAAGCGUGGGGAUCAAACAGGAUUAGAUACCCUGGUAGUCCACGCUGUAAACGAUGGAUACUCGCUGUGGCUGGUAUUGACCCCGGCCGUAGCCAAGUUAACACGAUAAGUAUCCCGCCUGGGGAGUACGGUCGCAAGAUUA